CUACGGGGUGCAGCAGUGGGGAAUAUUGGACAAUGGGGGAAACCCUGAUCCAGCAAUGCCGCGUGUGUGAAGAGGGCCUGCGGGUUGUAAAGCACUUUCGGUUGGGAGGACUGCUUCUAGCACUAAUAUUGUUGGAAGUUGACGUUACCUUCAGAAGAAGCACCGGCUAGCUCCGUGCCAGCAGCCGCGGUAAUACGGAGGGUGCAAGCGUUAAUCGGAAUUACUGGGCGUAAAGCGCGCGUAGGCGGCUAGAUCAGUCGGGUGUGAAAGCCCCGGGCUUAACCUGGGAACUGCAUCCGAUACUGUCUAGCUUGAGUACAGGAGAGGAGAGUGGAAUUCCACAUGUAGCGGUGAAAUGCGUAGAUAUGUGGAGGAACACCAAUGGCGAAGGCAGCUCUCUGGCCUGAUACUGACGCUGAAGUGCGAGAGCGUGGGGAGCAAACAGGAUUAGAUACCCUUGUAGUC
rnacentral:rRNA from 1 species